rnacentral:rRNA from 1 species
GAUGAACGCUGGCGGCGUGCCUAAUACAUGCCAGUCGAGCGAACGGACGAGAAGCUUGCUUCUCUGAUGUUAGCGGCGGACGGGUGAGUAACACGUGGAUAACCUACCUAUAAGACUGGGAUAACUUCGGGAAACCGGAGCUAAUACCGGAUAAUAUUUUGAACCGCAUGGUUCAAAAGUGAAAGACGGUCUUGCGGUCACUUAUAGAUGGAUCCGCGCUGCAUUAGCUAGUUGGUAAGGUAACGGCUUACCAAGGCAACGAUGCAUAGACGACCUGAGAGGGUGAUAGGCCACACUGGAACUGAGCCACGGUCCAGACUCCUACGGGACGGAGCAGUAGGGAAUCUUCCGCAGUGGGGGAAAACCUGGCGGAGCAGCGCCGCGUGAGUGAUGACGGUCUUCGGAUCGUAAAACUCUGUUAUUAGGGAAGAACAUAUGUGUAAGUAACUGUGCACAUCUUGACGGUACCUAAUCAGAAAGCCACGGCUAACUACGUG